GGGUGGGAUGAGUAUUCUAAGGCGCGUGGAAGAACUCUCUUUAAGGAACUCUGCAAAAUAGCACCGUAUCUUCGGUAUAAGGUGUGGUUAGCUUUGUAUUAGGAUUUACUCCGAAAGCAAGGAAACUUACAACAAAGAGUCCCUCCCGACUGUUUACCAAAAACACAGCACUCUGCUAACUCGUAAGAGGAUGUAUAGGGUGUGACGCCUGCCCGGUGCUCGAAGGUUAAUUGAUGGGGUUAGCAUUAGCGAAGCUCUUGAUCGAAGCCCGAGUAAACGGCGGCCGUAACUAUAACGGUCCUAAGGUAGCGAAAUUCCUUGUCGGUUAAAUACCGACCUGCAUGAAUGGCGUAACGAGAUGGGAGCUGUCUCAAAGAGGGAUCCAGUGAAAUUGUAGUGGAGGUGAAAAUUCCUCCUACCCGCGGCAAGACGGAAAGACCCCGUGGACCUUUACUACAGCUUGACACUGCUACUUGGAUAAGAAUGUGCAGGAUAGGUGGGAGGCUUUGAGUAUAUGACGCCAGUUGUAUAUGAGCCAUUGUUGAGAUACCACUCUUUCUUAUUUGGGUAGCUAACCAGCUUGAGUUAUCCUCAAGUGGGACAAUGUCUGGUGGGUAGUUUGACUGGGGCGGUCGCCUCCCAAAUAAUAACGGAGGCUUACAAAGGUUGGCUCAGAACGGUUGGAAAUCGUUCGUAGAGUAUAAAGGUAUAAGCCAGCUUAACUGCAAGACAUACAAGUCAAGCAGAGACGAAAGUCGGUCUUAGUGAUCCGGUGGUUCUGUGUGGAAGGGCCAUCGCUCAAAGGAUAAAAGGUACCCCGGGGAUAACAGGCUGAUCUCCCCCAAGAGCUCACAUCGACGGGGAGGUUUGGCACCUCGAUGUCGGCUCAUCGCAUCCUGGGGCUGGAGCAGGUCCCAAGGGUAUGGCUGUUCGCCAUUUAAAGCGGUACGCGAGCUGGGUUCAGAACGUCGUGAGACAGUUCGGUCCCUAUCUGCCGUGGGCGUAAGAAGAUUGAAGAGAUUUGGCCCUAGUACGAGAGGACCGGGUUGAACAAACCACUGGUGUAGCUGUUGUUCUGCCAAGAGCAUCGCAGCGUAGCUAAGUUUGGAAAGGAUAAACGCUGAAAGCAUCUAAGCGUGAAGCCAACUCUAAGAUGAAUCUUCUCUAAGCUCUC
rnacentral:rRNA from 1 species